rnacentral:misc_RNA from 1 species
CCGACUCUCUCUCUCUCUCUCCCCCCUCUACCUAAGCUGCCGUGAUUUAUCAAAAGCACGACCACGAGUUUGGUACACACGCGCACAGGCAAGUGAGGCAACAUGGUCUGCCCUUUCACCAUUGCGAUCCGCGUUGGUCUGGUGCUCUUCGUCGCCAAGACGUUGUACGACGCCGUGUGCACGUACCAGCAGAACACAGCAUCCAAGUGCGUCAAGGGCAACGGCGACGGCGACAAGCAGAAGCCAUCGAACGCGUCGUCGAGGACAGCGGCAACGGCGGUGUAGCCCUCUUCUUCUUACGGGAGCGUGUGCUCCUUCCUCUCUAUCUUCCCUCCGGCCCCCUGCGCGCUCCGCGACGGCGUGUGUACUUCUCGAUGGCCCCCGUGUGCCUCUGCGCCGACCCGUCACUCAGAGCAACGUCAACAUCAUGAUCAUCAGCGUCUCCUGUUGCCCGCGCGCUCUCCCUUCUAGUUCUCCCUCUAUAGAGAGAACGCUUCUUCUGGGGAGGGGGGGGGUUCUGCCCGUGCCCUCGUCUCCUCGGCGCCACCUCCUCUACAAGGCACAGGCGCACACAAGCGUGCGCGUGUCUGCCCGAUGCGCAUGCGUGAGGGACGGAGCGGGGUGCGUGCGCAGGCACGAUCCGCCGUACAUGACGCCCACUGACCCACACACACACACACACAACAUACGCCUCUCUUCGCUGUCAGCUGCAGCCUGGCCUUUGGCGAGGGGGCAAGUCCAGAAGCGAUGUUGGGAUGUGGGGGCGUGUGAACUGGACGGUACAAGACGAGCGUGGGGCUGCUCAGCCCCCAAGGCUGCCUUCCCUCUUCCCCUCCCUCACUUCAUUCCUGGCUCUCCACGUCCAGGAACUGCGCCGCGAUGACGUCCGUUGCGUGGGCACGUGCUCUUCCCCCCUCUCAUCCGCAUAUCUACAUCUAUACAUAUAUAUAUAUAUAUAUAUAUAUAUAUAGAUGUAGAUAUCUGUGUGUACCACUGUCUACUCUCGGCUGUCAUGCUGCGUUGUCGGUCUUGGUGGCGCGCAUGGUGGGUGCCGCAGCUGGUACGUUGUUGUGCCUCGCGCUGUGACGGGUGUGCAGACAAGAACAACGGCAGCGAAGAGAAAGCGGGAGGCCUGCAAGAAGACCUCCAAUCUGCCUGUGUGUGUGUGUAUAUAUAUAUAUAUAUGCCAUGCGCCACCGCCCUCGUCAUACUUCACCCGCUUCCCCUCCCCGCUCCUCUCCCGCACCCACGUCGGCUCAACCCACGAAG